rnacentral:lncRNA from 1 species
GAAAACACAAAUUUAUGAUUAUAAAUCACAAAAUCAAAACCCAAAUUAGUGGUAAAGAUGAUAUAGGACAAACAUUUCUCCUCAAUCCCCACAUAUCAAUCACCUUCAUCGACACCUGAAGCAAAACCAAAACCAAGCAGGAGUUAGGGCAGGAGUCUGCAUGUGUGGACUUGAUACAAAAGAAAUUAGAGAGAAAGAGAGAGAUGAACCUAUGAGAAGAUCCUCGUUGUCGGAGGAGAUAAAGUGGCGGCUGAUACAGGAAGUGUUCGUUAAAAGUUCUCUUUGGCUUUUGGUUUAGUUUUGUUGGUUUGAUUUCUAUUGAUUUUGUUUGGGUUCUUUGGUUAAUCAUCUCUUUGUUGGUACAAUGAUUCGUCGCUUUGAUUUAUCGUUCCUAAUGUUUUGUGUUCGGAUUAGUUUGAAGUUUCGAAAAAUUUGAGUGUGAGAAACUAAAUUUUGGGGGAGAUGAGAGUUGAUCGAAUAUGUUGGAAUUGGAGAAU